CUGUCAUUUCUGAGCUUGCUGCAAGUGAUGUCAUAAAUUCAAGGUCAAGAAGAACCAUUACAUGCCACCUCCAAAGACCCACUUUUACAGCUUCCAGCAUGUGUUGUGAAACAUUUCUUCUAAUUUCUAAAAUUGAAACAAUUACUAUGAUCUACAAAAUUUGAAGAACAACUAUGAAUCAAUAAUUUACUGCUAUAAUCAACAAAGGAUAAAUUAACUUCAUCUGACACAUGCUGAAUAAUCUACAUAAAUAUGAUUGCAAGUCAUGGCAAGUAUUCGUAAGUGAUUUGAGAAAGUCCAUGCAUGGGAGCAGGACAAAGAGAAAUAAUCUGAUCAUCCCUAAGAGGUUUCAAGAAUGAGCAAUUGCGUAAAGCUGAGUCCUGGAAGGCUGCCUGUAGGGGGCAGUAUGUGGUCUGGCCUUAAGGACAAACGGAAUUUUCACCGGAGAAGACUGUGGCGGGGGCUUUUCAGGAGGAAUGAAUAGGAAGAGUACAGGAGGCUGUAUAGCAGCAGGUGGCUUUGUUUGGUUGGAAAACACUCCAAGUGAAAAGGCAUUGUGAAGAAUGGAAGAGCUACUGAGAAACCAGCCUAUGGAGUUUGGCUGUCUCUCCUAGUCACAAAUAAGGAGCUGUUACUGGUUUUUGUCAAAAGAACAGGAUGAUCACAUCUGUGCCUUAGGACACUUUAGAUGGGGCAGAACAGGUACAGGGGAUGUGGUGGGGGAAGAAAUGACUCGAUUUCAAACAAAUCAAAUAAAUUACUUUGAUGUUUAAAAAAAAAAAAUAAAA